rnacentral:rRNA from 1 species
AGUGGCGGACGGCUGAGUAACACGUGAGGAACUUGCCCUCCGGUGGGGGACAACCACGGGAAACCGUGGCUAAUACCGCAUGAUGUCAUGUUUCAUAAGGGAUGUGACCAAAGAUUUCGGUUGCCGGAGGAGAGUCUCGCGGCCUAUCAGCUAGUUGGUGAGGUAAAGGCCCACCAAGGCGAUGACGGGUAGCCGGUCUGAGAGGAUGAUCGGCCAGGGGGGGACUGAGACACGGCCCCCACUCCUACGGGAGGCAGCAGCAGGGAAUCUUGCGCAAUGGGCGAAAGCCUGACGCAGCGACGCCGCGUGGGGGAUGAAGGCUUUCGGGUUGUAAACCCCUUUUGCUGGGGAAGAAGAUCUGACGGUACCCAGCGAAUAAGGCCCGGCCAACUACGUGCCAGCAGCCGCGGUAAAACGUAGGGGCCAAGCGUUGUCCGGAAUUAUUGGGCGUAAAGGGUGCGUAGGCGGCCCGGUCAGUCUCGUGUGAAAGCUCCCGGCCCAACCGGGAGAGGUCACGGGAUACUGCCGGGCUUGAGGAUAGCAGAGGAAGGUGGAAUUCCCGGUGUAGCGGUGAUAUGUGUAGAUAUCGGGAGGAACACCUGUGGCGAAAGCGACCUUCUGGGCUAUUUCUGACGCUGAGGCACGAGAGCGUGGGGAGCGAACCGGAUUAGAUACCCGGGUAGUCCACGCCCUAAACGAUGAGUGCUAGAUAUGGGGGGUAUCGACCCCCUCCGUGUCGAAGCUAACGCAUUAAGCACUCCGCCUGGGGAGUACGGCCGCAAGGCUAAAACUCAAAGGAAUUGACGGGGGCCCGCACAAGCAGCGGAGCGUGUGGUU